UUGUUACUAUGGGAGGGGGAGUACUUUGUUACCAUGAAAGGAUUGGUGCCUAAUGUUUAAGAAGGAACUGCAGAUGCUGGAAAAUCGAUGCUGUCAAAGUGCACAUGCAAGAGAGGUUGACUGGAGAAGACUCAAUAGUACCAUCUGGUGGCCAGUUUUGAAAGCACAGGAUGACCCUUGAAGCUGUGAAUCCAAUUGAAAGUAAAUGGAUGGGGAUCUACAGUGGAAUAAAGUGUAAUGAACGUUG